GCCGGGGUGGCGAAAUGGCAGACGCGAUGGAUUCAAAAUCCAUUUCCCGCAAGGGAGUCGGGGUUCAAGUCCCCGCCUCGGCACCA
rnacentral:tRNA from 2 species